CCCUUAGAUGUUCUGGGCGGCCCGCGCACUACACUGGCACUCUCAAUCAGAGCCUGGAUCUAACACUUUGGGGUAUUCUAUGAAGUGGUGUCGUGACUGGGAUUAACCCUUGCAAUUAUUGGUUACGAACGAGGAAUUCCUUGUAAUCGCGGUUUAUCAGCCCGCGUUGAAUGCGUCCCUGCCCUUUGUACACACCGCCCGUCGCUCCUACCGAUUGGGUGAGCCGAUGAAACUCUCGGAUGUAGGCUAUUCAUAGCCCGCAGAAGAGAUUUGAAUCGUAGCGCUUAGAGGAAGGAGAAGUCGUAACA
rnacentral:rRNA from 1 species